rnacentral:snoRNA from 1 species
ACGUUGCGCUGCUGUUUUAUUGAGCCUCUAUGUUUUUUCGACGCAUUUAGACUUACGGAGCAGCAGUAGAUGAAAAACGAAAACCUAAAAGGCAGUGGCUUCCAUUUGAAUGAAGCUUACUGCAAGAGAAGGUUUUAACAUUU